rnacentral:rRNA from 1 species
CUACGGGUGGCUGCAGUGAGGAAUAUUGCACAAUGGGGGGAACCCUGAUGCAGCAACGCCGCGUGGAGGAUGACGCAUUUCGGUGUGUAAACUCCUUUUGUAUGUCAAGAAAAUGACGGUAGCAUAUGAAUAAGCACCGGCUAACUCCGUGCCAGCAGCCGCGGUAAUACGGAGGGUGCAAACGUUACUCGGAAUCACUGGGCGUAAAGGACGCGUAGGCGGGUUGGAAAGUCAGGUGUGAAAUCCUACAGCUUAACUGUAGAACUGCACUUGAAACUUCUAAUCUAGAGUAUGGGAGGGGGAGAUGGAAUUAGUGGUGUAGGGGUAAAAUCCGUAGAUAUCACUAGGAAUACCUAAAGCGAAGGCGAUCUCCUGGAACAUUACUGACGCUAAGGCGUGAAAGCGUGGGGAGCAAACAGGAUUAGAUACCCGCGUAGUC